rnacentral:rRNA from 1 species
UACGUAGGGUGCAAGCGUUGUCCGGAAUUAUUGGGCGUAAAGAGCUCGUAGGCGGUUCGUCGCGUCGGCUGUGAAAACCCGGAGCUCAACUCCGGGCCUGCAGUCGAUACGGGCGGACUUGAGUGUUGCAGGGGAGACUGGAAUUCCUGGUGUAGCGGUGAAAUGCGCAGAUAUCAGGAGGAACACCGGUGGCGAAGGCGGGUCUCUGGGCAACUACUGACGCCGAGGAGCGAAAGCGUGGGGAGCGAACAGG